rnacentral:tRNA from 1 species
GUCAAGAUGGCCGAGUGGUUAAGGCGCCAGACUUAAGAUGCUGGUCUUCGAGAAAGGCGUGGGUUCGAACCCCACUCUUGACA